ACCCCUAUGUUCACGGUAGCGCUUUUCACAAUAGAGUUUUGGAAUCUUAACUGCCACUUUCACAUAGCCUCAAGCGAGCGAAAUUCCAAUCUCAUAAAUAGCUCAAGGAAUCAGCAAAAGCAAAAAGCCUCGCUUCUUGCCCUGCGGCCAUGACACCAAGCAUUAAAAUAGCAGCAGACCGGCCCCAGUACCCGAGGCACUCCCGGAACACCAGCUCAGCCUAGCUACAGUCACUGGCUGGCCAACAGUUCCAGGUGCCUCAGACCCUUCAGGCGGGAUUCAGGGAUCCACUUGCCUAACCUGGAGAAGGGUAUAGGAAUCCAGAAGAAUUCUCACCCAUGAGGGAAGACGUAUGAGGAUACUCAUGGAAGCAUUGUUAGUAGUACUGGGCUCAGCAGGGAUGGCGCCUCGUUUCUGCUCCAUGUAGCAUACGACGAUAUUCAUCCGGGAGUUAGAUGGGCUGUGACGUCCCUGAUGGCCUGUCAUUCUCCAGGGUCCCUCUCCACCUAGUCGUGAAAUCCGAGC